UAAUUUCUCUUCAUGUACUUAUAUCGGACAAUGAAGUCUUUUCUUCUCCAACUCUCUCUCCGACUUCCCGUCUCUGCAAAUUUCUCAUCUCUUCUUGUACUUUCAACAGUUAUAUUUUUUUAUUUAAUUUCUCACCCAUCUUCUUCUCAAUUGCAUCCUACUCUUCCUUUUGCAUACUCGAACUAUAAACCCUAGUUCAAAUUUGGGUUUGGUGGGUUCAAUUUAUUGCAGUUUAGAACCAAUUGGAUCUCUCUCUCUCUCUCUCUCUCUCUCUCUCUCUCUCUCUCUCUCUCUCUCUCUCAGCAUCAAUCAAUUGAACUAGGUUUUGUUCUUAUUCAACGAAAUUUAUUCUAAAUUCCAUCAAUUUUGUAAACUUUUAGUAGCUUUAGAUGUUUGUAUGCGGAAACAAAAGCAAACAUAAGAAGAUUUUUGGUAGAAAAGUUACAGAAAUUACAGACAGAAUUAGCCUUCAUUCACAAUGCAAACUCAAAACUAAGGUUAGUUGGUCCAACUGUUCAUUUAGUAGUAGAAGAAGAUGUUGAAACUUAUUAAUAUUGGUUUGAUAAUAUUCAAAAUUUUAUAAUUAAUUUCAAAAAUGUUGUGUUUUUAUGUACAAGAAUCAAUUUUGGAAGGAGGACAAACAGUUUUGGGGUCGGCAAUUCAAGCUAUCGUAGUAGUUGGGGUCGGCAAUUGUUCGAGGAGUUGCACACAUUUAAGGUUAGAGGAAGAAGAAGGAACAGAACCGGCAAAAAACAAACUAGUGAGUGGACUCUAAUUUGGAUAAAUUAUUUUGAAUGUGAUUUUGAUGUGCCUUGGUCAUGUACAUUAGAAUAUGGUUACUGUUGGUUUUAAUAUCCUAUACAUAUGUCACGAUGAUAGUGAAAUCAUAUGUAUAUUAGCUUUAUUUUAAGUUUCAACAGAUCAACUUCCUGAAAGUUGGCAUGUGGCAGUGGCAUUCACAAACUCAGAUAAUCUGUUGCAUAUAAUCAAUGGAGUUCAGAGCUGAGAUAACAUUUGAUUCUCCUCCAUGACCAUUUCUAUAAUUAAACAUAAUAGUGCUUUAUUUUUAUUUUUUUCAAAUACAAAGUAAUAGCUUAUUUUAAAAUAAAGGCCUAUUUUCCAUUUGUAUAAAAAUUUGAGGAAGGCUUUUAUAUAAAUUGAUAUACAAUUCUAGGCAUGCUUUCUUCAUUAAGGGGCAGCAAGCAAUUGAUAUAACCAUUAUGGAAAGAGUACUACUAUGAUAGCUUGAAUAUAUAUAGUAAAAAACCACAAUUUUUACGAUUAUUUAUGCAAACUAGUCUACCUAUUUCUAACUUUAGUCCCCACCGUGUCACGGUUCUAUAUUUAUAUAUUUCAUUAGUUUGUAAACUACAAUUGAAGUAAUUGUAAGUCUGUAACAACUGAAGAAUGUAUGAAUUUACUUUCCAAUACCUCUUGUUUUGUUUAUCUUUUUAAUUUAUUAAUUUUGGUGGCGGUAUGCUUUGUUUAUCUUUUCAAAAAAAAUAAAAAAAAUCGCAAGCAAAUGCUAGUAUAUCGGACAAUGUUCACAUGAUAUUUAAAUUUCACAGUACUCUAGCUUUAGGGUCCUCUGCAGUAUCGAGACUUUGAUAAAGAACUUCAUUUUUACUUGAAGGUAAUUUAUAGCAAAAAUUUUAAUUGUAGUGCAUAAUACAUGACAGUGUAGUGUGAGCCACCCAAAUACAAUAUUUGUGUUACAACCCAACCUGUUGACCUGUCACAUAUAAUAUUGGCUUAAGAUUUUGCAGCAAUGCGAAAUGGUCUUGUGUGGUCGAUUCCACCUAAUUAUGCCAUCCAUUCAAUUACCAGGACACAGUUUAAGUUUCAAUACUAUAGAUAUUGGAACUUAAGUAUGUUGCUGUCAUCAUUUUCUGAAUCAUUUGCAUUGAGCAUAGUCGAAAACUAUAUACAUGAAAUUAUUUUUUGGUAAAUCCUAUUCAUUAUAUUGUUUAAGCUGAUACUUAAGUUUAUAUCCUUGUCCCUACAGGUCUUACAAAGGAUGUACUUAGUGUUUCGUUUAGCCCUGAUGGGUAACAUCUGGCUAGUGGACCUACACUUGUACAAGUUAGAUUUAAGUGUAAUACCAAUAAUGCUCUAAAUUUAUGAGUUUGCCAAAAAGGGUUCACUAAAAAAUCAUCCACAUGAUCCUAAGAACACCGGUAAGAUUUCAAGUUUCAAGUUACCGUGAACAUUAACUAGGCAUGUUUUAACCGGUUUGAGUACAUGCUGUUUAUAUGCACUUGAUCCUAAUGUGUUACUUUGAUUGUUAGAAUAUUAAAGCAAUAUAAAUUUGUUUCUUAGAUUGUGUUAGAGUUCAAAUUGCAGUCGACAUGGCCCGUUUGGUUUACAUUCAUGGACACGUAAACUAAAAUUUUCAUCUAUGCAAGUAUUAAUUAUUAUUAAACCUAAUUGAGUAUUCUCUUUGUAGAUUUUUUUUGUAUUUGUGAAGGAGGCUAUAGCUCGAACAAAAUAAAGCUGUGGUGGUGAAGAUGAAUCCGAGAAGACAUGACAGAUCUUGACUUCUAAGUCCACAUAGAUAUUUUCUCUAGUUUUGAUACUUAUUGUAUACUUUAUUUGUCAUAGGUUGUGACAUUCAUUAUUAUGUGUAAAGAGUUUAUGUGUAAUUGCUAUUUUUUAGGAUUUAGGAUUAAUAAGUUGUAAUUGCAUAAAUAAGUUGUAAUUGCACAUUGAGAAAAAGUAAUGAAUAAAAAAUUAUUUAAGAUUA
rnacentral:lncRNA from 1 species